rnacentral:lncRNA from 1 species
AGGGCAGCGCGCCCGCGCUAUCCUCGGGUCAACUAGCGCGCCCGCGCUAGUCUAGCGCGGUGGCGCCCCACUGAAACUUCCCGGGCCGAUUUUUACAGCUUUUCUGAUGGAUUUUCGCAGCGGCCGAGGCCCGGUUGACUUAGUCAAUGCAUUUUAUUCUCGUGUGUAAAAACCCUAGCCUCAUAGUAGUUAGAACAUCGAAACAAUAUCAUAGCUAGUUUUCUUUUGUAAUCAAGCACAUUAUCAG